UACGUAGGAUGCAAGCGUUGUCCGGAUUUACUGGGCGUAAAGCGCGCGCAGGCGGCACUCUAAGUACGUCGGUGAAAUAUCCCGGCUCAACCGGGAGGGUGCGAUGUAGACUAGGGAGCUAGAGGUCGGUAGAGGGGGGUGGAAUUGCUGGUGUAGCGGUGAAAUGCGUAGAGAUCAGCAGGAACACCCGUGGCGAAGGCGGCCCCCUGGGCCGUACCUGACGCUGAGGCGCGAAGGCUAGGGGAGCCGAACGGG
rnacentral:rRNA from 1 species